CGUACAUGUGUAUCUUUCCUCCUCUUACUGCAGAGCAGCUCACCGGAUCUCAAUGAUCAAUACAAGUGUCUCAAAAUUAGUUCAAGUAUCUAGAGUAUUGUGGCAGGGUGUGGAGGUUUGUAAAAUGCUGCCCAGACUGAUUUUUGCAGUGAAUAGAUUUUGCCAUAACCUACGCAACUACGCUUUAGUCCCAAAACAUGUGCUCUUAUCGAUAAGAGUUUGGUACCUUGUUCACAUACACAUCACAUAUAGUUCUAUAUUUGUACCGGACGUAUGGCAUAAUGCUGCACCUUCCAAGCUGACAAGAAGUGCAAAACAAGCAAGAUUACAUGAUUUUUUUCUGAUUUGGCAUUUGGAGGAGAAAACUAACUAUAUUUACAGUUUGAUACUAUAUGUUGCUGAUGUAUUUCAACAGAAAAAAAAAUCUAAUUUUAAAGCUUUGAGAAGACCCAAGAAAUCGCAUGAUCAUUUUUUGAGUAGUGCUUUUAAAUGUAGAUGUGCAAAAGGUCCUAAAAUACCUACAUUUUUGCAAUUCUAUGUAUCUUGCAUGGAUAAUUGUACUGAAUAACACAGUUUGUUCUUUUCUUUUUUUUUUUUUCCUUUUUGUUUAAAUGGAGAGACAUCCCCUUCUGGAGUGGUGGUUUUAUAGCUCUAGGAUUAACACCCUUGAAUGUAGUUGAAGUAGUUCAGCACUAUUGCAAGAUGCACUAUAAGAGUAAUUGAUGUGUGGGUAUCAGCCUUUAGAGAUCUUGCAGAGUGGUUAUUUCUGGUGGUUGUAAAAUUCCUUUUACUUGAUCAUUAUGUUUAGAAUUCUGAUUUUUCAUGGGAAAUUUACAUGAGAGCUCUUGGAAAAAUAACUGCAGAUGGAUAAUAAUGCUAGUUUUGCUUGAUUAAGAAGUGCAGGACUGGGAUUUUGGGAUUUUAAGUUUUUUGGUUUUCUUUAUGAAUUUUAGAUUGUUUGGGCCAGUUCAGUCCUUUUGUAAGUAUUUGCAGUUUCCUAAGAGAGCUGUGUUUGCUUUCAGCGUGGGCAAAUUCUGUUCUUAAUUUAUAGGCUGAAACAAGUGGGUUUAGGACUAAUAAAAUUGGCAGAAUCUUACUUAACAUCAUCAUGGCAAAUUCCAAAGGGAUGUAGCCUUCUUGCAGGUUGAAUGCCACUUGGAUGACCUCUAGCUAGGUAGUAACAUUCUAGGCAUCAACUUUACAUUUGCCGCCAACCUAUAGGAUACUGGAAUGGCCCUUUCACAAGGUUUCAUUGGUCAUUUUUGUUUCCGCAGCAGAGAAACUCAUGGCUGUUUCAGCUACAAGGACAAUUGACCAGAUUAUCACAGGGUGAAUUCUGGGAUACAGAAAGUCCUAGAGUGAGGUGAACAGGCUGUAAAAAAAAGAACAUUUCCCAGUUCUGCUGCUGUGGAACUGGACAUUAGGAGAAACACAAGUUAAUAUCUUGCUCCUUGGAUAAAUGAUAGAUUGGGAGACAGCUUGUCUACUACCCACCCCUCAAAGACUCUACAUGGGACAGAGGAUUAGCCAGAUGCUUCCUGAAGAUGGUGAGAGAGGGGCUGAUUGUCACUUGGUCCCCAAGAUGAAAAGGCAAGAACAAACAAAAGGAUGACUUUUCCUGCAGAAACACUGCACUUCAGAUUCCAGUCCUGGCCAGAACCAGGACGUGAAGAGGUAAAGACAUGAAAACGUUUUUUUUCAAAACUGAGAGAGCAUUAACUUUGGAUUUGGUUUGAAUGUUGAUGGAAGGUUGAGGUCAUUUCUUGAUUGAUCCAAAUCUUCUCAGUCAGAGAUAAGUCCUA